rnacentral:lncRNA from 1 species
AUGGAGACACCUAACGAAAAAUUAAACCAUUGCAAUGGACAUAUAUAUUAUUUAUUAAUUUCCCUCCAAAAUAUUUCACAAAUAUGCCAAAAUAUUUUUCAUUUUAUUAAAACAUUAUUUUUCUUUCUUAAUAGAAAACCCUCAGAACGAAAGCAGCUAAUUGACUUACCCUUUUUCAGACAAACAAACCAAACGCCUCAAUCGAUUUACCCUUAGAACAAACAGCAAAUAGUUAAUGAUACACUUUAUUACAACGAACAACCAACAAUCUUGACAAAUUUGUUAGUGAGGUAAUAGAUUAGAGUCACAUUGCAAGAGAAUAAGGCAACGACUUCCAAUCUUCCAAUCUGUUUUUGAGUCUCAUAGUGAAAUUUUUAUAUGUUUUGAGCUCUCAAUUUGUUAGUGAAAUUCCAAAAACAUUCAAUUUUGUGGAUUAUUAUGAUUUAUCUCUCAAUCUAUUAGUAUUGUUUAAUUUGUUGUUUCAUAGCUAACCCACUUAAUAUAUUGGGGUGUUCUUUAAAUUAGGGAUUUCUUCAAUUUGGGGAUUUUAAGGUUAGUCUAUUCUUCUCAAUUUCAACCUAAUUUUUUAUCUUGAUUUUAAUUUGGGUAGUCUCUUUAUUUUAUUUUAGCUGUACUGUGUGUAGAUUGACAUCUUCUUCAUUAUGACCUUCUUAUAGGAUCAAAUUAUAUUGCUUAAGUAGUCUCUCUGUUUUAUUUUAGCUGUUGGAGAUAGAUGGUCAGCUUCUACCUAGAUUUGUAAUGUUUCAACUUUAUUAAUAAGAGAAAUUUGUUUAAUAAACAAAAUAUUUUGUCUUAGCUUGCUUGCCUUUCUUGUAUGAGUUAGUGUUAGAGCUGGUUUUUACUUUAAGACAAUUCAUAUCAUUUGCUGAAUGCAGAAAAUAAUAGAUGUGGUUCUUUCGGUUUCAGCUUCUUGGUUUCUUUUUCCAUCCCAUGAAAUACAAAUUUAAUCAUUAAAUAUAUAAGAGAGUUUCAUGUAAAGUUCUCAUAGUUAGUAUGUUGUUUUGUGUGUUCUUUAUGAAGUAACCAUAUGAUAAAACUAUACUAAUUAUAGUAUAGCAGAAUUUGGGAGAUUGUAGAGACGAAAUUAUGUUGUUAAUAUGUUGUUUUGUGUGUUCUAAAGAUAUACAUGAAGGUGGAAAAAAGAAAGACUUCACCUGCUAUUUUGAAAAGCUUUUCUAGUGUAUCAGGUAGUAUUAUAAGCUUCCCAUUUUUCUCCUAUAAUGAAUUAAUGUUCUAUUUCAUGUGAAUGGUAACCCUCUUCUUGAUGGAUUUUUUCCCGAUUGCACUAGUUUGACUUGUAUUGCCUGAAUAUGUAGAAUAGGAGACCUCAUUUCUUGAAGGCUUGAAUUGACUACUCUUUUUUUCUUUAUCUAAUCUAAUGAAAUUGCCCUCUUGCUAAUUUAAUUCACUCUUAUUUACAUAAUUUGAUAGGUACUCAUGCAUGCUUUUGUUUCAUCGACGAUUUUCUCUAGCUAUUCCUAUCCACCCUUUUGAUUCAAAUUAGUCUUUUUUCCAUCUUCUUUCUAGUGGGCUCAGAGCUAUUUCAAUACACCUCUUGGAAACUGCAAAAUAAUCAAGAACCGUUUGGACUUUAUGUACCUAUCAUUCACCUUUAUUUUCUGCUUGUACCUUAGCUCUAGCUUCUAAAUUUUGGAUAUUUAUACUAAUUAGGUCGCUAGGCAAAGAAACUAAGCUUUCAUUCUCGAAUGAUAAAUUUUGCAUAUAAUCUUCAACCGGAAAGUGAAACUAAGCUAGAACAGUCGUAGUACUAUAGAUAAAAUAGCAGCAAAUAACUCCAACAUAAAGGAAAACUAGCAAAGGCCAGUUAGAAUGCAUACAUCAAAUACCUCCCCUCGUUGAGGUGCUCUUCUAUGAUUUUCUGAUUAUUAGCAUGAUGAUCAUCAGAAACUCACCUAUAGCUUCAACCAAUCAUAGAACCAUUUUUCUUGUGUGAAUUUCGUUCACACAGCUCGUCCAAAAAAUCUUGUAAGUGUCAAUAAUGUAGACACAGACCUACAAAAAGGGGAUUAAACUGUAUAAACAACUGACAGAGCCAGUAAAAGAGGCAUUACCUCUUAACUGAUGAUGACAUGUAUUAGAAGGAAGAAAAAUAUGCAGAUUAGUCAAGGAUUAAAUAUGUGAAGAAAAAUUAAUGUUUUACGCCUUCAAACAACAGAUAAUGAUCAACUGUUAUUGUAGAGGUUAAGAUAGAGCUGCCCCCCAGAUGGACGAUGACCAGUUCAUUGCUUCUAUAACUUCAACCUCACAAAUGCCUCCUUUAUGACACUCUGAACCUCACCAAUCUUCUUAUUAAAAGAAUGCUGAGUCCAAGUCAGAUUAUGAUGUGUAUAGGACACAAAAACCUAACCCAUCUAAGGGUAUCUAGAACUUCCAACAAUCCAAACACCAUUUAGUAACAAUUUAUUCGCACUUUGGAAUAGGGAAGAUUUAUCCAGUACCUGAUCUUCAGGCAUCAAACCAGGCCAUCCAAUACACACGUUAGUAAAUCCCCCCUUAAUUCAACCACACCUUAGACUGUAAUUGAAUAAGAUGUUUUCUGGUUCCUCUCGAUAUGCCACUUUAAAAAUCAGCAGAAACACUAAUUUUAGGAGCAAUUAUAGGUAUAUGAGUUGUAUACAUUGAUCCCGCAACAUUGGGGAUCCCUGAAAUAGCCUCAUACUCAUCCUUUACAUUUUGCAUUUUCUCUUUAUCAGGCCAUUGGAGAUACUUGGGCAUCAACACAGUCUUAAUCGCAGUACAAACUUCAAGCACGUGUUUAUGGAAAUCGAAAUCCCCAAUCCAAACCACUUUGAGACCAAUCUAAGAGGUUCUCCAGAAGCCCAUCUCCAAAAACAAACAGCUACACAUUAUUUCACUGGUACAUCAUAUCGUAGCAUCGUAUUCUCUUUGGCAAACACAAAACUCAAUUCAUUACAUAUCAGUUCAAAUGUAUCUUUUCCCAUUUGAAAAGCUUUCUUGAACUCCUCUUCAGGGAAAUUAGCACUGUUACAUUGAUCCCACCAAGCUUUUGAUCUAUUCUUCACCCACAAUCGUAUUUAGGGAGCACCCUUUUCACUGGCUUUAUUACUCAAAAUGAUUUCUUCCUGUGCUGCAGCAGCAGAAUGGCACAAGAAGCAGUAGAAGUAGAAGUUCAAUUCCCUUGGACUUUCUAUUUACGAACACUAUCUAGCUGUUGUAAAUUGGAAUGAUGUUUUUGAAUGUUUGAAUAAUAAUC